rnacentral:tRNA from 1 species
GCCUUGAUGGUGAAAUGGUAGACACGCGAGACUCAAAAUCUCGUGCUAAACUAAAGAGCGUGGAGGUUCGAGUCCUCUUCAAGGCA